GCAUAUCAAUAAGCGGAGGAAAAGAAACUAACAAGGAUUCCCUUAGUAACGGCGAGUGAAGAGGGAAGAGCUCAAAUUUUAAAUCUAUCAUGUUUGUACAUGAUCGAGUUGUAAUUUGAAGAAGCGUUUUCUCGUACUUUAUGCAAUCAGUAUAAGUUCUCUUGGAACAGGACAUCAUAGAGGGUGAUAAUCCCGUCUGUUACUGGUUGUGAGGUUCGUUAUGAUACGCUUUCAAAGAGUCGAGUUGUUUGGGAUUGCAGCUCCAAAUGGGUGGUAAACAUCACCUAAGGCUAAAUAUUUGCGAGAGACCGAUAGCGAACAAGUACCGUGAGGGAAAGAUGAAAAGAACUUUGAAAAGAGAGUUAAAAAGUAUGUGAAAUUGUUGAAAGGGAAACGAUUGAAGUCAGUCGUGCAGUCAUCAAUUCAGCGGUUAACAUUUUUAUGUUUCCGUGUAAUUUGGUGUCUGUUGGUUAGCAUCAAUUUUGAUUGUCAUAAAAAGGUUAAGGGGAUGUGGCUCCUUCGGGAGUGUUAUAACCCUUAGCGUAAUGUGACGAUUAGGAUUGGGGAUUGCAACGAAUACCUUUUAGGGCAGUUUCACCUGGCCUCUCGUGGAAUUAUAGAUAGUUAAGAGCAUGCUCUUACUGUCUAUGAUUCUACGAAAAGGUUGGAGUGUAAAACUAAUUCGUUAAGGAUGUUGACGUA
rnacentral:rRNA from 1 species